CCUACGGGUGGCAGCAGUGGGGGAUAUUGGACAAUGGGGGAAACCCUGAUCCAGCGACGCCGCGUGAGUGAAGAAGUAUUUCGGUAUGUAAAGCUCUAUCAGCAGGGAAGAAAGAAAUGACGGUACCUGAGUAAGAAGCCCCGGCUAACUACGUGCCAGCAGCCGCGGUAAUACGGAGGGGGCAAGCGUUAUCCGGAAUUACUGGGUGUAAAGGGAGCGUAGACGGUAAUGCAAGUCUGGAGUGAAAGGCGGGGGGCCAACCCCCGGACUGCUCUGGAAACUGUGUAACUGGAGUGCAGGAGAGGCAGGCGGAAUUCCUAGUGUAGCGGUGAAAUGCGUAGAUAUUAGGAGGAACACCAGUGGCGAAGGCGGCCUGCUGGACUGUAACUGACGUUGAGGCUCGAAAGCGUGGGGAGCAAACAGGAUUAGAUACCCGAGUAGUC
rnacentral:rRNA from 1 species